rnacentral:rRNA from 1 species
GGCUCAGAACGAACGCUGGCGGCGUGCUUAACACAUGCAAGUCGAACGAACCUUCGGGUUAGUGGCGGACGGGUGAGUAACGCGUGAGAAUCUGCCCUCAGGAGGGGGAUAACGGUUGGAAACGACCGCUAAUACCCCAUAUGCCGAGAGGUGAAAAGAAAUUCGCCUGAGGAUGAGCUCGCGUCUGAUUAGCUAGUUGGUGUGGUAAUGGCGCAGCAAGGCUUCGAUCAGUAGCUGGUCUGAGAGGAUGAUCAGCCACAUCUGGGUCUGAGACACGGACCAGACUCCUACGGGAG